GGAUGCGUGUGAGCCGUUUUCCUGGCUGUUGAUGGAUACAUGUGAGCUGUUUUCCUGCCCGUUGGUGGAUGUGUGUGAGCUGUUUUCCUGGCUAUUGCUCCAGAUCCUGUUUGCGGGGGAAGCCACACAUCGCACGUUUUACUCCACGACGCACGGGGCUCUGCUGUCGGGAUGGAGGGAGGCCGACCGCCUCCUCAGUCUGUGGGCCCCGCAGGUGCAGCAGCCCAGGCCCAGGCUCUAGCUGGGCCCAGCCUACUCUGUUCCACCCGUGUCGGGGGUAGGCUGGGACCCUCAUUUCUUCUGACAGAUUUCAGUCUGGCUUGAAAUUUGGGGAUGUUAAUGAGGGUCCUCUGGUUUUUGGUAACCAGGGCCACCUUCUCAGUUCUUGUGUCUGUUAUUGGAGUCUGGCCAGGGUUGACUUGAGCUGAGACACCAGAUGCUCACGGAGA
rnacentral:lncRNA from 1 species